UCAGACCUGUGAGUCAGGACAGGAUCUGGGUCGAGGAUAUGACCUGGUGAUCUGCAUCUUCACAAACUCCCUGGGUCUGAGAACUGAGACUCCAGUGACUUUGGCCACAGCUGAGGCAUAUGGCAGAGUCUGGGAUACAGUGACCUGACUUGCAGCAGCCCAUCAGGGAGAUUGGGCGGCUUUAGAACAACAGCCUCAGAAAGAACAAGGCUUAGGAGAUCUCUGUGUCUGGAGGGCGCAGGAUGGGACAGAAUGAGGAGAAAUUAAACAGAGCCAGAAAUAUUGGAACCUGAUCUGAUCUUCGAGAACAUUCUGAAAACUAGGAAUCCAAGGCCCAAGGAGGGCACAUGGUCUACUUUGCUUAUCUAUUGAUGUAAUAAACACUGUGACCAAAACAGCUUAGGGAGGAAAGGGCUCUGUUCAUCUUAAAACUCUCAGGUCACAAUGCAUCACUGAGGGAAGUCAGGGCAGGAACCUGGAGGCAGGAACUGAAGCAGAAGCCACAGAAGGACAUUGCUUAUUGACUUGCUCUCCCUGGAUUUCUCAGCCAGCCAGCUUUCUUUCUUUCUUUCUUUCUUUCUUUCUUUCUUUCUUUCUUUCUUUCUUUCUUUCUUUCUUCCUUCCUUCCUUUCUUUCUUUCGAUUUAUUUAUUUAUUAUAUGUAAGUACAGUGUCUUCAGACACACCAGAAGAAGGCAUCAGAUCCCAUUACAGAUGGUGGUGAGCCGCCAUGUGGUUGCUGGGACUUGAACUCAGAACCUCUGGAAGAGCAGUCUCUUAACCACUGAGCCAUCUCUCCAGCCCUCAGCCAGCUCUCUCAUACAGCCCAGCUCCACCUGCUUAGGGAUGGCACAGCUCACGGUGCACUGAGCCCUCCUACCUCAACUAGCAAUAAAGAACAGCCACAGACCAACGGAGAGUGUCUUGCUCUCUGUGGUACCAGGCUAGCUGGCCUGACAGCUCUCAGGAAUUCUUCUGUCUCUAUCAGGAUUACAGAGACAGAGUCUCUCACUGGCUUGGAGGCCAUCAAGUAAGCUUCUGGUUGGCCAGAAAGGACCGGGGACCUGCCUGUCUCUACCUCUUCGACACUGGGAUUAUCAGCACACAUCACUAUGCUUGGAUUUUUUUUAUGGGGGUUCUGGGAAUUAAACUCAUGAUCGCGCACUUUCAAGGCAAACCU